AAACAAGAAGUCUCUUGCCUAUUGGCCGCAGCUGCAGCUGGCUACCCGCCCAGUAAAGCGCACUGCCAUUGGUCGCCACGCAGGGUUCCGUGCACGUUGGCAGGAUCCCGGGCCAGAAGAAAGGCGGGCUUGCAGGCUCGCACCCUGCGGCAGGAGCUCGCCGUGAGCCGGAUUGAGGCUAAAGCUGGGGCGGCCUUCCUCUCGCUAAGCAGACAUUAGUUUCGGUGUUUGGGACUACGAAUGCUGCUUCUGCUCCAGGUUUCCUUUGGUUUUCGGCGUGAUGAAAGUAUAUAAAGCAUGUUGUUCUGAUGAUGCGAAAGACAUUCGCUCCGUCAGCUGAAGUGUCGGGGUCCAUUCACCGAGACCCAGGCCAGAAGGGAAGACCGAGCCACGGGAGCGAGGGACCCCUAUGCCCUGGACGCUGGGAUGCAGCGGCGGCCCGGACUCCUACUCUCCGAGCCCACUGGCUGGGUGCAGUCCCAGGUCCUGCCCUAGUCGCUUAUAACCUCGCUUUUAUGGUCGAGGUCUGGGAAAGGUUUCCGCCCCACCUGGGCUUCACUGCCAACCAAGUGUCUUCUCUGCCGUGAUGGGUUGACCCCUUAUCUGGCUCACGUAUUUGUUGCUCUUCCUCACAGGGCCAGCCCUCUAUUGGCUCACAGAAAGCUCACCCAUUUUUUUAAACAAAGGAACAAACUCAACGCCCAGGUCCUCUGUGCAGUCUGCUCUGACUGGCGGAGUGGUUGGGUCCAGGAACCCUCCCCCAGUCGCAGUUCUGAAACACCCAGCUAGGUAGAGAGGUGGUUUGAAAUCUUACUUAGAUUUCAUUCUGAUGGGGGGGGCGGGGGGGAGCGUGUUGCUACCGUGACCAAAACUCAUCUGCCUAUAGUUCUCAAGGCAUGCCCUUAGCAUUUGAAGCAGUUCAUAUUUCUCUCUUUCUCCUCCUCUCCUUCUUUUCCUCAUUACAACCCCCUACCCCACUAUCUGUCUCUCCCUUGUUUUAUUUUUGUGAAGCCUUUAAAAUUUGAGGUUCAUAUAACAUACUUAUCCCUUUGUUUCUCAAGUCUACAGCACCAAGUAUUCCCAAAGGGGUCUUCCACCUACACUGAUCAGGGAAAGUCCAAGUGAGCGUUUUAGUGACCUGUAGUACAAUCACAAUGUUGUACAAAUGUCACCUCUCUAUUAGAGGGCUUGUUUGUUUUUAAUGUUCAGGCUGGAGCCCGGGACCAAUUUUUUCUCCAACUCGAAGAGAUUCGCCUGUUUCUGCAUCCAGAAUUCUGAGAUCAGAGCAUGCACCAGCACAUCCCAUCAAAACUUUUAAGUCACUAGGAAGAACAUUCAUUGCCUUUCAAGUAAUCGCUCCCAGCUUCGCUUUCCUUCUUUCUCUGGCAACUACUUGUUAACCGGCUUCCAGUCUCGUUCUCUUUCUUUUCUUUUCUUUCUUUUUUUUUUUUAGGAAUGUAUCUAGGAAUUGGAUUGUAACAUAGCAUAUUUAAUUCCUUAGGAAUGGCCAAGCUACUUCCCAGCGGCAACAUUUGUAAAAGGUUUUAUUAGCAUAUAUGAACUAUAAAUACUGGGUUUUAUUAACGUU